AGGAUUAACGCUGGCGGCGUGCCUAACACAUGCAAGUCGAACGAGGUAGCAAUACCUAGUGGCAGACGGGUGAGUAGCGCGUGGUCAACCUACCGUUGAGUGGGGGAUAACUAGCCGAAAGGUUAGCUAAUACCGCAUACGUCUCCGAGGGGCAUCCCUUGGCGAUAAAAAGGAGCAAUCCGCUCGAUGACGGGACCGCGUCCCAUUAGCUAGUUGGUGGGGUAACGGCCUACCAAGGCAUCGAUGGGUAGCUGGUUUGAGAGAGCGACCAGCCACACUGGGACUGAGAUACGGCCCAGACUCCUACGGGAGGCAGCAGUGAGGAAUUUUCCGCAAUGGGCGAAAGCCUGACGGAGCGACGCCGCGUGUGGGAAGAAGGCCUUCGGGUCGUAAACCACUGUCGAAGGGAAGAUAAUGACGGUACCUUGGAGGAAGCCCGGCUAACUACGCGCCAGCAGCCGC
rnacentral:rRNA from 1 species